GAUGAACGCUAGCGGGAGGCCUAACACAUGCAAGCCGAGCGGGAUUUGAGACUAGCUUGCUAGUCUUAAUGAGAGCGGCGUACGGGUGCGGAACACGUGUGCAACCUGCCUUUAUCUGGGAGAUAGCCUUUCGAAAGGAAGAUUAAUAUCCCAUAAUAUAAUGAUUGGCAUCAAUUAUUAUUGAAAGCUCCGGCGGAUAGAGAUGGGCACGCGCAAGAUUAGAUAGUUGGUGAGGUAACGACUCACCAAGUCGAUGAUCUUUAGGGGGCCUGAGAGGGUGAUCCCCCACACUGGUACUGAGACACGGACCAGACUCCUACGGGAGGCAGCAGUGGGGAAUAUUGGACAAUGGGUGAAAGCCUGAUCCAGCCAUCCCGCGUGAAGGAUUAAGGACCUAUGGUUUGUAAACUUCUUUUCUACAGGGAUAAACCUACUCUCGUGAGAGUAGCUGAAGGUACUGUAGGAAUAAGCACCGGCUAACUCCGUGCCAGCCGCCGCUGUAAUAC
rnacentral:rRNA from 1 species